rnacentral:tRNA from 1 species
GCAUUGGUGGUUCAGUGGUAUAAUUCUAGCUUGCCAUGUUGGAGACCUGGGUUCGAUUCCCAGCCAAUGCA